AACGCUAGCUACAGGCUUAACACAUGCAAGUCGAGGGGCAGCGCAGUGCAGCAAUGCACGGGCGGCGACCGGCGCACGGGUGCGUAACGCGUAUCCAACCUUCCCGUUACUCUUGGAUAGCCUUCCGAAAGGGAGAUUAAUACAGGAUGGUAUUCAAAUUCCGCAUGUUAUUUGAAUUAAAGAUUUAUCGGUAACGGAUGGGGAUGCGUGACAUUAGAUAGUAGGCGGGGUAACGGCCCACCAAGCCAUCGAUCAGUAGGGGUUCUGAGAGGAAGGUCCCCCACAUUGGUACUGAGACACGGACCAAACUCCUACGGGAGGCAGCAGUGAGGAAUAUUGGUCAAUGGGCGUAAGCCUGAACCAGCCAAGUAGCGUGCAGGAUGACUGCCCUAUGGGUUGUAAACUGCUUUUGCCGGGGAAUAAAGUUGGGCAUGUAUGCCCAUUUGCAUGUACCCGGAGAAUAAGGACCGGCUAAUUCCGUGCCAGCAGCCGCGGUAAUACGGAAGGUCCGGGCGUUAUCCGGAUUUAUUGGGUUUAAAGGGAGCGCAGGCCGUCCCUUAAGCGUGACGUGAAAUGUACGGGCUCAACCGGUGCAGUGCGUCGCGAACUGGGGGACUUGAGUGCACUCGAGGCAGGCGGAAUUCGUGGUGUAGCGGUGAAAUGCUUAGAUAUCACGAAGAACUCCGAUUGCGAAGGCAGCAUACUAAGCCGCUACUGACGUUGAGGCUCGAAAGUGUGGGUAUCAAACAGGAUUAGAUACCCUGGUAGUCCACACGGUAAACGAUGAAUACUCGCUGUUGGCGAUAUACAGUCAGCGGCCAAGCGAAAGCAUUAAGUAUUCCACCUGGGGAGUACGCCGGCAACGGUGAAACUCAAAGGAAUUGACGGGGGCCCGCACAAGCGGAGGAACAUGUGGUUUAACUCGAUGAUACGCGAGGAACCUUACCCGGGCUUAAAUUGCACUGGACAGCUCAAGAGAUUGAGUCUUCUUCGGACCAGUGUGAAGGUGCUGCAUGGUUGUCGUCAGCUCGUGCCGUGAGGUGUCGGCUUAAGUGC
rnacentral:rRNA from 1 species